CGGGCAAUAGCUCAGUGGUAGAGCUCCCGCUUUGUACGCGGGAAAAGUUGGAUUCGAUUCCCGGCUGCUUAC
rnacentral:tRNA from 1 species